rnacentral:rRNA from 1 species
CACGUAGGGUGCGAGCGUUGUCCGGAAUUAUUGGGCGUAAAGAGCUCGUAGGCGGUUUGUCGCGUCGGCCGUGAAAACUUGGGGCUUAACCCCGAGCCUGCGGUCGAUACGGGCAGACUAGAGUUCGGUAGGGGAGACUGGAAUUCCUGGUGUAGCGGUGAAAUGCGCAGAUAUCAGGAGGAACACCGGUGGCGAAGGCGGGUCUCUGGGCCGUAACUGACGCUGAGGAGCGAAAGCUAGGGGAGCGAAUGGG